rnacentral:rRNA from 1 species
AUUGAACGCUGGCGGCAGGCCUAACACAUGCAAGUCGAGCGAGCGGCGGACGGGUGAGUAAUGUAUGGGGAACUGCCCGAUAGAGGGGGCUAACUACUGGAAACGGUGGCUAAUACCGACUACUAUCGGAUGCACCCAUAUGGGAUUAGCUAGGAGGUGGGGUAACGGCUCACCUACGCGACGAUCUCUAGCUGGUCAGAGAGGAUGAUCAGCCACACUGGGACUGAGACACGGUCCAGACUCCUACGGGAGGCAGCAGUGGGGAAUAUUGCACAAUGGGCGCAAGCCUGAUGCAGCCAUGCCGCGUGUAUGAAGAAGGCCUUAUGGUUGUAAAGUACUUUCAGCGAGGAGGCGUUACUCGCAGAAGAAGCACCGGCUAACUCCGUGCCAGCAGCCGCGGUAAUAC